rnacentral:rRNA from 1 species
UGGGCGCAAGCCUGAUGGAGCAACACCGCGUGAGUGAAGAAGGGUUUCGGCUCGUAAAGCUCUGUUGUUGGAGAAGUAACGUGCGUGAGAGUAACUGUUCACGCAGUGACGGUAUCCAACCAGAAAGUCACGGCUAACUACGUGCC